GACGAACGCUGGCGGCGUGCCUAAUACAUGCAAGUAGAACGCUGAAGGAGGAGCUUGCUUCUCUGGAUGAGUUGCGAACGGGUGAGUAACACGUAGGUAACCUGCCUGGUAGCGGGGGAUAACUAUUGGAAACGAUAGCUAAUACCGCAUAAGAGUAGAUGUUGCAUGACAUUUGCUUAAAAGGUGCAAUUGCAUCACUACCAGAUGGACCUGCGUUGUAUUAGCUAGUUGGUGGGGUAACGGCUCACCAAGGCGACGAUACAUAGCCGACCUGAGAGGGUGAUCGGCCACACUGGGACUGAGACACGGCCCAGACUCCUACGGGAGGCAGCAGUAGGGAAUCUUCGGCAAUGGACGGAAGUCUGACCGAGCAACGCCGCGUGAGUGAAGAAGGUUUUCGGAUCGUAAAGCUCUGUUGUAAGAGAAGAACGAGUGUGAGAGUGGAAAGUUCACACUGGACGGUAUCUACCAGAAAGACG
rnacentral:rRNA from 1 species